CAGCAGCCGCGGUAAUACGUAGGUGGCAAGCGUUGUCCGGAAUUAUUGGGCGUAAAGGGCUCGCAGGCGGUUUCUUAAGUCUGAUGUGAAAGCCCCCGGCUCAACCGGGGAGGGUCAUUGGAAACUGGGAAACUUGAGUGCAGAAGAGGAGAGUGGAAUUCCACGUGUAGCGGUGAAAUGCGUAGAGAUGUGGAGGAACACCAGUGGCGAAGGCGACUCUCUGGUCUGUAACUGACGCUGAGGAGCGAAAGCGUGGGGAGCGAACAGGAUUAGAUACCCCGGUAGUCCCUGUCUCUUAUAA
rnacentral:rRNA from 1 species